rfam:Chelonia mydas contig198900, whole genome shotgun sequence.
CACGGAAAGGAUUGACAGAUUGAUAGCUCUUUCUUGAUUCUGUGGGUGGUGGUGCAUGGCCGUUCUUAGUUGGUGGAGCGAUUUGUCUGGUUCAUUCCUUCUAGCUCUCCCUCCAUGAGCCAUCCUAGAGACAGGGUCAUACUAAAACCUCACCUAUGAAGAGACGAUGGAGAGCCAGAGCCAAAUUUCUCAGUAGACUGGCUGCCUCUUCAAUGCUGAGCCUUUGGUACUGACAAGGGUGGGACCCGAGCAGACUCAUUUUCACCU